UUACACUAACCUAAGAAAAAAAAAAAAUUCAACCGGCUUGCUCAGAAUCGAGCUAGUUCACUGGUUCGCUGGUUGAGCCAACGAUUUGAAUGAUUCAAAAUGAGUUUUUACCUUAUCCGAUUCAAAUGCUGAACUGAACUGUUUUAUUAACUAUAAUUGAUAAAUGUAUAAUUUCAUAUAAAUUGUGUAUUCGAAUAAUUGGCGAAUCUGUUUUUUAAGCCGUAUUUUUUAACGAAUUUAAAAAUUGAGAUACGAAUUUUAUUCGAAUUAUAUCCGUACCAAAUUUUUGCCGAAUCCGAAUUAACUAACUAUGCACUAGAACAAAAAUGGUGUAGUAAGUGAUCUUUCUCUAUUUCGUUAUAAGAGGUAUUGCACUCUAUUAAUAAUAACUGAGUUUAAGCAUUUUGAGCCGAUGGUUUGAAUCCAACGAAUUUAUUAUUGCUAGCGGGUUAGGUCGUUAUAUUUGUUGUUUCUGAAAGGUUUAGU
rnacentral:lncRNA from 1 species